GGGACGCAACGUCUUGAGCGUCGCGUCGAGUGGUUUCAGUGCCGGCUCGCUUUUGUCUUCAAGUGGCUCAUUUUGUCCUUCGUGCCUGUGAAUUUUUAAUUACUUGCUAUCAAAGUGUUCGGGCUCGCCGAGGGUCCUUAGCCCUUCUCCCUUCAUCCGAGAGGGGAGGUCACGAGAUAGGGACGUCUGGGAAGCUAUAGACAUUGAACGAGUGAUGACCACCCGCAGAAAGAUGGACGAAGACGAGACUGGGGCAGCUGUCAACCCUGGGGCGACGGGAGGCGACGGGCCAGAUCACCUGUCUGCCCGUACUUCGUAACCCGUACUUUUACGGUCUACAAUGAGGGCAAGUGGCUCUCAGGUGUGGUGGGCAGUUAAAGAACAUAAAACACGGUACACGACGUGCAGGACAGGUGAAGCCGACGUUCGAGUGCAGUAAUACCACGUUUAGUAAUUUUUUUUUGUCAUCUCGCUCUAUCAAUUUCAUACCCAGUGGUUAUUUUUACUCUGUAUUGAUACAAAAUAUACAUUUCUCUACUAAAUACUGCGAAAUUUCACUACAACUUCAGUCGUUUUUAUAAAUCAUUCGACUACAUCAGAAGCAACUCAGGAACAUCUCUGGGAAGAUCAUAAGUCUUGCAACUCUUCUUUGGAUGAUCCUGCAAGUACCCUUUUCAGUUUUCUGUGGUAAUAAAAAUACUCUAAUAUCCUACAAACAUCCAGUUUUUUUCUUAUGUUACAAACAUCCUAAUGGCAUUUCAGAACCUCUUCUUACCUUAGAGUUUGAAUAUUCUUAUAAAUCCAGGAUUUAUCCUUGUGAAAAAUAAUCAGUUCUUAGUGAUGACUCCAAGACCACAACCAACCAAUGAACACCUAAACGGGCGGAUACCUCUCAGUAUGAUGUGUCCAAGGAGCAGAUAAUGUUUAUCCUAAAGUUAUAAUUUUCGAUAAGGUAACACAUCACACAACAACAACAAGGACUCACUAUUAUUUUCUCUGUUCACAUUGAAUCUGUGUAAGGGAUUGCAAGUUAGUUUAAAUGUUCGUUGAGCACUGAUGCCCCGCUUAAAGGGAUAUGAAACCAUGAAAGAUAAAACACAAAAAACGAACACAUACCUAAACUAAGCACUUAAAAGCAAAGCUUUUCCUUUAGUGUAGAUUUGCAUCAACAUUCAUAAUUUUGUCGAAUUAACACUGGACAUGAAUUAAAUAAAUAUUUAUACCAUUACGUUUCAGCGGACCACACUUUGUAGGAUCCCUAUGUCCUUCUAGGUUAAAUGCUGA